CUUAAGACCUUAUUUCAUUUCAUUUGCAAUUGGAAACAAGGAAAGCAGGUUGUUCAUUACAUAUUAUUUCUAAGAAAACGUUCAGGUGUUCAACAACACAAAAAUAUAAGAACACAAAAGUAGUUGCUGAAUUUUCAUAUCAUCUUCUCCUUCCUUGAUAGCUAAGUGAUGGCAUAAACGUUUUGGAGUGUUGUCACCCUAUUGUAUGGCUGGUUUUGAAAGCAUAGAGCUGGGAUUCUAAUAAGGUGGUCUAGAGAUUAAGGAUUAGCAUCAGCAUUACGAUGAGUUCAUUUGGGUUUUAUAUUGGCAACUUAAGGUACAGAUAGUCGGUUUGGCGAUCCUUCAGCAUAGGACUUUCACUCAGCUGUCUUGGGAGCUCCGUCGUUCCGGAGCCUAGAUUUUGGUACAGACUUACUGAUAUGCAUAUAUAUAUGUUUUUGCCCAGGGGUACGACGGGGCCCUGUCCCGUCAUAUGUUACUGUUGAUACUCUUAGAGGUCUGUAGACAUGUAUGUGGGUGGUGUACAGGUUUGAUCAGCUGUGUCUAUAUGGUUAUUGCGGAUGUUCUGUCGUGGUAGCAGCCUUGCCGGCUUGCAUAUGUUAUCGUUUCGUAAUGGCAGCCUUGUCGGUUUGCGUAAUAUACUGAUAUGUAGUGGCAGCCUUGUCGGCUUGCGUAGUAUAAUGAUAUAUAUACAGUGGCAGCCUCGUCGGUUUGCGGAUGUUAUUUCAAUAUGAUUGAUUGAGGACCUAUAGUAUCAGUUGUCAGGUACAUGUGGGUGUCCAGCUCGGGCACUAGUCAUGGCCCACGGGGCUGGGUCAUGACAAUUAAGAACUAUAAUUAUGCCCUAUUAUCAGUUGAAGUUACUCACUUCUUUAAAAGAAAAUCAAAAUAUAUCUCACUCAGAUUACAGUAGAAAGGUACUUUUGCAUUAUAACUAUAGUAUAUUUGGAUCUAAUCCAUAGCUAAAUUUAGUUGUUUAAUUUUGCAGGUUCAAACGAUAUUUAAUAAUUUUGUGAUCAAUAAUCAAGUCAUUCGAUAUUCAUUGAUUAUUCAUCGAUUUGAGCUUGUACUUUAUCCCUUUUGAUUUUAGUUACUCCUUACCCACAUAUGUUAAUAUUGUAUGUACAAAUUAAAAAAGU